ACAUGCAAGUCGAACGGUAGCACAGAGGAGCUUGCUCCUUGGGUGACGAGUGGCGGACGGGUGAGUAAUGUCUGGGAAACUGCCCGAUGGAGGGGGAUAACUACUGGAAACGGUAGCUAAUACCGCAUAACGUCGCAAGACCAAAGAGGGGGACCUUCGGGCCUCUUGCCAUCGGAUGUGCCCAGAUGGGAUUAGCUAGUAGGUGGGGUAACGGCUCACCUAGGCGACGAUCCCUAGCUGGUCUGAGAGGAUGACCAGCCACACUGGAACUGAGACACGGUCCAGACUCCUACGGGAGGCAGCAGUGGGGAAUAUUGCACAAUGGGCGCAAGCCUGAUGCAGCCAUGCCGCGUGUAUGAAGAAGGCCUUCGGGUUGUAAAGUACUUUCAGCGAGGAGG
rnacentral:rRNA from 1 species